GGAUUAGAUACCCUGGUAGUCCACGCCGUAAACGAUGUCGACUUGGAGGUUGUGCCCUUGAGGCGUGGCUUCCGGAGCUAACGCGUUAAGUCGACCGCCUGGGGAGUACGGCCGCAAGGUUAAAACUCAAAUGAAUUGACGGGGGCCCGCACAAGCGGUGGAGCAUGUGGUUUAAUUCGAUGCAACGCGAAGAACCUUACCUGGUCUUGACAUCCACGGAAGUUUUCAGAGAUGAGAAUGUGCCUUCGGGAACCGUGAGACAGGUGCUGCAUGGCUGUCGUCAGCUCGUGUUGUGAAAUGUUGGGUUAAGUCCCGCAACGAGCGCAACCCUUAUCCUUUGUUGCCAGCGGUCCGGCCGGGAACUCAAAGGAGACUGCCAGUGAUAAACUGGAGGAAGGUGGGGAUGACGUCAAGUCAUCAUGGCCCUUACGACCAGGGCUACACACGUGCUACAAUGGCGCAUACAAAGAGAAGCGACCUCGCGAGAGCAAGCGGACCUCAUAAAGUGCGUCGUAGUCCGGAUUGGAGUCUGCAACUCGACUCCAUGAAGUCGGAAUCGCUAGUAAUCGUGGAUCAGAAUGCCACGGUGAAUACGUUCCCGGGCCUUGUACACACCGCCCGUCACACCAUGGGAGUGGGUUGCAAAAGAAGUAGGUAGCUUAACCUUCGGGAGGGCGCUUACCACUUUGUGAUUCAUGACUGGGGUGAAGUCGUAACAAGGUAACCGUAGGGGAACCUGC
rnacentral:rRNA from 1 species